rnacentral:rRNA from 1 species
UACCAUGCAAGUCGACGAUGAACUGGAGCUUGCUCCAGGGAUUAGUGGCGAACGGGUGAGUAACACGUGAGUAACCUGCCCUUGACUCUGGGAUAAGCGCUAGAAAUGGCGUCUAAUACCGGAUACGAGCUUCAGCCGCAUGGCUAGGAGUUGGAAAGAAUUUUGGUCAAGGAUGGACUCGCGGCCUAUCAGCUAGUUGGUGAGGUAAUGGCUCACCAAGGCGACGACGGGUAGCCGGCCUGAGAGGGUGACCGGCCACACUGGGACUGAGACACGGCCCAGACUCCUACGGGAGGCAGCAGUGGGGAAUAUUGCACAAUGGGCGAAAGCCUGAUGCAGCAACGCCGCGUGAGGGAUGACGGCCUUCGGGUUGUAAACCUCUUUUAGUAGGGAAGAAGCGAAAGUGACGGUACCUGCAGAAAAAGCACCGGCUAACUACGUGCCAGCAGCCGCGGUAAUACGUAGGGUGCAAGCGUUGUCCGGAAUUAUUGGGCGUAAAGAGCUCGUAGGCGGUUUGUCGCGUCUGCUGUGAAAUCUGGGGGCUCAACCCCCAGCCUGCAGUGGGUACGGGCAGACUAGAGUGCGGUAGGGGAGAUUGGAAUUCCUGGUGUAGCGGUGGAAUGCGCAGAUAUCAGGAGGAACACCGAUGGCGAAGGCAGAUCUCUGGGCCGUAACUGACGCUGAGGAGCGAAAGCAUGGGGAGCGAACAGGAUUAGAUACCCUGGUAGUCCAUGCCGUAAACGUUGGGAA